ACUCCUACGGGAGGCAGCAGUGAGGAAUAUUGGACAAUGGACGCAAGUCUGAUCCAGCCAUGCCGCGUGCAGGAAGACUGCCCUAUGGGUUGUAAACUGCUUUUAUUUGGGAAUAAACCCCUCUACGUGUAGAGGGCUGAAGGUACCAAAUAGAAUAACGCAACCGGCUAACUCGCUGCCAGCAGCCGCAGGUAAUAGCGGGAGGUGCAAGCGUUAUCCGGAAUCAUUGGGUUUAAAGGGUCCGCAGGCGGACGUAUAAGUCAGUGGUGAAAGCCUACAGCUUAACUGUAGAACUGCCAUUGAUACUGUAUGUCUUGAAUUCGGUCGAAGUGGGCGGAAUGUGUCAUGUAGCGGUGAAAUGCAUAGAUAUGACACAGAACACCGAUAGCGAAGGCAGCUCACUAGGCCUGAAUUGACGCUCAGGGACGAAAGCGUGGGGAGCGAACAGGAUUAGAUAACCUGGUAGGAUAG
rnacentral:rRNA from 1 species